rnacentral:rRNA from 1 species
AUUGAACGCUGGCGGCAGGCCUAACACAUGCAAGUCGAGCGAACGGCGGACGGGUGAGUAAUAUCUGGGAAACUGCCUGAUGGAGGGGGAUAACUACUGGAAACGGUAGCUAAUACCGCAUACCAUCAGAUGUGCCAAGAUGGGAUUAGCUAGUAGGUGGGGUAACGGCUCACCUAGGCGACGAUCCCUAGCUGGUCUGAGAGGAUGACCAGCCACACUGUCACUGAGACACGGUCCAACCUCCUACGGGAGGCAGCAGUGGGGAAUAUUGCAAAAUGGGCGCAAGCCUGAGGCAGCCAUGCCGCGUGUGUGAAGAAGGCCUUCGGGUUGUAAAGCACGUUCAGCGGGGAGGCGUUACCCGCAGAAGAAGCACCGGCUAACUCCGUGCCAGCAGCCGCGGUAAUUC